UACAGAGGGUGCGAGCGUUAAUCGGAAUUACUGGGCGUAAAGCGUGCGUAGACGGUUUCGUAAGUCGGGUGUGAAAGCCCCGGGCUCAACCUGGGAAUUGCAUUCGAGACUGCGGAGCUAGGGUGCGGAAGAGGGAGGCGGAAUUUCCGGUGUAGCGGUGAAAUGCGUAGAUAUCGGAAGGAACAUCAGUGGCGAAAGCGGCUUCCUGGUCCAGCACCGACGUUCAGGCACGAAAGCGUGGGGAGCAAACAGG
rnacentral:misc_RNA from 1 species